rnacentral:rRNA from 1 species
UGAGGGAAUAUUUGGGGUCAAUGGACGAAAGUCUGAACCAGCCGUGCCGCGUGAAGGAAUAAGGCCCUAUGGGUCGUAAACUUCUUUUGUAUGUGAGCAAUAAGGUCCACGUGUGGACCGGUGAGAGUAGCAUACGAAUAAGCAUCGGCUAACUCCGUGCCAGCAGCCGCGGUAAUACGGAGGAUGCAAGCGUUAUCCGGAUUCAUUGGGUUUAAAGGGUGCGCAGGCGGGCGUCUAAGUCAGCGGUGAAAGUUCCCGGCUCAACCGGGUCAGUGCCGAUGAUACUGGGGGCCUUGAAUGCGGUCGAGGCCGGCGGAAUGUGGCGUGUAGCGGUGAAAUGCAUAGAUAUGCCACAGAACACCGAUAGCGAAGGCAGCUGGCCGGGCCUGCAUUGACGCUGAGGCACGAAAGCGUGGGGAUCGAACAGGAUUAGAUACCCUGGUAGU